GAUGAACGCUGGCGGCGUGCCUAAUACAUGCAAGUCGAGCGAACGGACGAGAAGCUUGCUUCUCUGAUGUUAGCGGCGGACGGGUGAGUAACACGUGGAUAACCUACCUAUAAGACUGGGAUAACUUCGGGAAACCGGAGCUAGUACCGGAUAAUAUUUUGAACCGCAUGGUUCAAAAGUGAAAGACGGUUUUGCUGUCACUUAUAGAUGGAUCCGCGCUGCAUUAGCUAGUUGGUAAGGUAACGGCUUACCAAGGCAACGAUGCAUAGCCGACCUGAGAGGGGUGAUCGCCCAAACGGAACCUGAGACAGGGCCCAGACCCUGAGGGGAGCAAGCGGUGGGAAUCCUUCCGAAUGGGGCGAAGGCCGGACGGGGAAAGGCCGCGGGAUGAUGAAGGGUCUUCGGUUCGUAAAACCUGGUUAUUAGGAAAGAAAAAAUUUGUAGUAAACUGUGCAGUUCUGAACGUAACUUAACAAGAAGGCCCCGGUAAAUUCCGG
rnacentral:rRNA from 1 species